rnacentral:lncRNA from 1 species
UUGGCAACUACAACUCUUUGGAAAUUACCAGUAUCUCAUGCAAGAUGUAGCCAUUACUUUGAUGGUCUGUUUAACAAAUCAGUGCAUUUCUCUAUGUGAAGCAGCAGCCUUGGUAUUGUGAGGUCUACCAAUACAGUGAGUGUUUUCUGGCCAACCAAAGUAAUUUUUCAACAAAUGUGAGUUUGGAAAGAAACUGGACUGGAAAUGCAACUCUGAUUCCUGGUUCAAUUUUAAGUUUUGAGACCACCACACUGUGGCCCAUCACCACCAUCAACUAUAUCACAGUAGCAUUCAUCUUUUCUAAGGGAAAGCCAUUUCGAAAACCCAUCUAUACAAACUAUAUAUUUUCAUUUCUGCUGCUAGCUGCCUUGGGCCUCACAAUUUUCAUUCUGUUUUCUGACUUUCAAGU